CAAAAUGCACUGGCUGACCCAAAAAACCUCUAACAUGUCGUACUUUUCCUCCAAAAUAAGGACCAGUAGGUAUCUCCAUUCUACGAGGUCUCCUCACUUCCUUAAACUCUCUCUCUUGACCUUAUUUGUCCUUUGUCUCCUGGAUCCACCUUCCCUUUACUCAGCGAGAGGCCCUUACUACCUGCUGAACUGGGACCAGAGGCUUUGUCUCCAUGACACCUGGAACCUGAACAAUAAGAACUCGCUGCUCUAGAGCGGGAUGGUGGAACUCUGUAUCCCUUCUCCGAUUUGUGAAGUAGUUGGUACAACCUGAACCAACCCCGCCUGAAAUAAUGUCCCAGACAUGCUCAAGAACUGUGCUAAUGUCUCCUGAAGUGCUGGGGUAGUAGUGGCAGUAGGCGUAUCCGGUGCCUAGGGCUCUUGCUUGAACUGUUGGUGGCUCAUCAUUGGCAGCUUGCGCUGGUGCUCUGGUUGAACUGUGUGCACGUCCUUAGCCUUCCUGUUUCUGACCUCUAACACUCUCACUGGGGGCGCGAGUGUCUGCUCAUCUAUGGUAGCACGUGUCGUCACCAUUUGUUAGUGAAUGGAAGCUAGAGGUUUAGGAUUGUGAUGUCAAAGAUCUCGUAUGAUAGGGAAAUCAAAUGAAAUGAAAUUUUCCUAAUGAUUACAUAGCCUCUCAUAGAUAAGUACAGACAUUUUCGUACCAAUCAGCGAAACUCUAAUAAAUCGGCUUGUGAUUCAUGACUCCUAUAAACCUAGAGCUCUAAUACACUUGUCACAAUCCCGAUUCACCCUCCGUGAACCAUCGUAUCGGCACCUAGUCUUUACGACUAUAUAGGCCUAAAUUGUGGAAGAAAAACCUAAUUGAGGAAAUAAAACAAUUUUAAACAGAAAUAAAGUAAAUAACAUCGAUUAAAAAUGCCGCUCGGUAUACACAAUAUUUAACUCUCAAAACUAAUACAUAUUUCCAAGUCUCGAAAACUCACGAAUCACAAGCUAAGGAUACUACAUAGCUCUAACUCCAGAAUGUCUAACAAAGAACAUAAAUAUAGAAGGGAUAAUAGUUAAAAGCAAUUAUAGAAAGGGACUUCUUGGUGUGCGGAUGCGGCAUAUAUACCUCGAAGUCUCUGGAGCAGUCGCCUCACCUCAUGGGUAAUAGGGCUAAGUCAAAGUACUGGAUCUGCACAUAAAACACAUGUGCAUAAGGGCAUGAGUACACCACUGCGGUACUUAGUAAGUGCCAAACCUAACUUCGUUCGGGUAGUUACGAGGAAGGUCAGGGCCCUACUGAGAUAAGAUAAAAGUAUUAGGUAUGACAAAAUAAGAUAAGCAAUAUAGUUGAAAGAUAACAAUAAGAAUUUAAUAUGAGAAAAUAAGGAAUACAAUAAUCGAAAUAGAUGCCUAAACGAAUUCAAGGAUAAUAACCGGGGAUCUCUCAGUAUCCCAAGGAUCUCUUAGUAUCCUCAAUAUGUACUAGGGAUCUCUUGGUAUCCUCAAUAUAUUCUAGGGAUCUCUUGGUAUCCCGAGGAUCUCUUUGUAUCCUCAAUACAUGCUAGGGAUCUCUUGGUAUCUCGAGUAUCUCUCGUUAUCCUUAAUAUAUGCUAGGGAUAUCUUGGUAUUCCGACGAUCUCUAGGUAUCCUUAAUAUGUUCUAGGGAUCUCUUGGUAUCCUGAGGAUCUCUCGGUAUCCUCAAUAUAUGCUAGGGAACUCUUGGUAUCCCGAGGAUUUCUCGUUAUCCUCAAUAUAUUCUAGGUAUCUCUUGGUAUCCCCAAAACAUGCUAGGGAUCUCUUGGAAUCCCAAGGAUCUCUCGGUAUCCUUAGUAUAUUUCGGGGGAUCUCUUGGUAUCCUCAAUAUGUGGUAGGGAUCUGUUGGUAUCCCGAGGAUCUCUCGGAAUCCUCACUAUAUGCUAGGGAUCUCUUGGUAUCCCGAGGAUCUCUUGGUGUCCUCAAUAUAUGAUAGGGAUCUCUUGUAUCCCAAGGAUCUAUUGGUAUCUUCAAUAUACGUGACAAGGAUCGUCUGGUAUCCUGUACCUCAUCUCAAUCAUAAAUUCGUUCAUGGGAUCUCCCGGGAUGCCUACUCAUAGUCCAAAAUGAACUUCCAAAGCCCAUCUUCAUUGGGCACACAUAUCCUGUCUUGUAUCUUCAAUACUCCGUCAUCACCAAUAGUCACAUCUAUGGCAUCGUCGUGCUGAACUCUGUCUUUGAGGACAAGAAAAUAUGGAUCAUCAUAGUGGCACUCUCUGAUGUGAUCAAACAAAGAAGACCAAGAAACCACACAAGCUAAUACCCGAAUGGGCUUUGAAAUAUCCAAACUCACAAAGUGAUUGGACAGGGCUUGAACAAGAACUGCGAGAGGCCGUUCCCUAACAAGAAUAUAUGCCAAACUACCCAUACUCACCGCCUUCCCACUAAAAGCAUCAUCCACCAUAUUGGCUUUCCCCAUGUGAUACAAUAUAGUGAUAUCAUAAUCCUUUAGCAGCUCCAACAAUCUCUGCUGUCUCAAAUUGAGAUCCUUCUGUUUGAACAAGUGUUGGAGGCACCGAUGAUCAGUAAACACCUCCCAAGACACCCCAUAGAGAUAACGUCUCCAUAUCUUCAAUGCGUGAACAAGGGCAGCCAACUCCAAAUAAUGAACAGGGUAGUUCUUCUCAUGGGGUUUCAUAUGAUGGGAAGCAUAAGCAAUCACUCUACCCUCUUCCAUCAACACACUCCCAAUACCAACUAUAGAAGCAUCAAAAUGUAUUAUACAUGAACCUGAAGCUGAUGGAAAAACUAAAUCUUGGAGCUGUGGUCAAGGCAGUCUUGGGCUUCUGAAAGCUCACCUCACACUCAUCCGACCACAUGAAAGGAGCGCCCUUUUGAGUCAAUUUGGUCAAGGGUGAUGUUAUCAUGAAAAUCUGAACGAACAGACGGUAAUAACCCACCAAACCAAGAAUGUCGCGAAUCUCUAUGGAUGAGGAUGGUCUGGGCCAACUCUGAACCGCUUCUAUCUACUCCGGAUCAACUUGAAUACACUCACUGUACACCACGUGUCCCAAUAAAGCCAUUGAACUUAGCCAAAACUUACACUUGGAGAACUUUUCAUAAAGUUUCUCCUCCCUCAACCGUUGCAAUACAACUCUUGGAUGCUCAGUGUGCUCCUCCUGACUACGCGAGUACACUCGAAUAUCAUCAAUGAAUAUAAUAACAAACAAGUCGAGAUAAGGCCGAAACACGAUGUUUAUCAAAUGCAUGGAUGCUACUGGGGCAUUGGUCAGCCCAAAAGACAUCACCAAAAACUCAUAGUGACCAUAUCGGGUCCUGCAAGUUGUCUUAAGAAUAUCCGAGUCCCUGAUCUUCAAUUGGUGAUAUCUUGACCUGAGAUCAAUCUUGGAGAGCACCCUCGCUCCAUGCAAAUGGUCAAAUAAAUAAUCAAUACGAGGCAAAGGAUACUUGUUCUUGAUUUUGACCUAAUUCAGCUUCAUGUAAUCUAUGCACAUCCUCAUAGUGCCAUCCUUCUUCUUCACAAAUAGAACAGACACAACCCACAGCGACACACUAGGGUUAAUAAACCCUUAUCAAGGAGUUCCUGGAGCUGCUCCUUCAACUUCUUCAACUCUGCCGGUGCCAUACGAUAUGGUGGAAUAGAAAUGAGUUGAGUUCCCAGUACCAAAUUAAUACCAAAGUCGAUAUCCCUGUCCGGUAGCAUGCCCGACAUGUCUGUAGGAAACACAUCCGGAAAGUCCCUCACUACUGAAAUAGAAUCGAUACUAGGAGUCUCUGCAUUGACAUCCCUCACAAAGGCUAAGUAAGAAAGACAACCCUUCCCAACCAUUUGCUAGUCCUUCAAGACUGAAAUCACCCUACUGGGUACAUAAUCUGACGAAUCUCGCCUCUUAAUCCGUGGCACACCCGACAUGGCCAAUGUAAUUGUCUUAGCAUGACAAUCCAAAAUAGCGAACUAUGAACAUAGCAUUUUCAUGCCUAAUAUCACAUCAAACUCAACCAUACAAAGCAACAAAAGGUCCAUCCGGGUCUCCAAAACCCAAUAGUCACCACAUAAGACUGAUAUCCGCGGUUUACAACAACAGUAUCACCCACCAAAGUAUAUACACGGACAUAUGAAACAAAAGACUCACGGGGCAUAUCCAAAAAAUGAGAAAAAUAUGAUUACAUAUAUGAAAAAGUUGAACUAGGGUCAAAUAACAUAGAGGCAUCUCUGUGGCAAACUGAGACAACACCUGUAAUCACCGCAUCUAAAGCAAUAACAUCUGGUCUGGCUGAUAGCGCAUUGAAAUGGGCCUAACCACCACCUGGUCGAUCUCUCCCUCUAGGGAAACCACUAGCUAACCGAACUCUACCCCGAUCUUGUUGAGCGGGUGGGGAAGUAACUGGUACUGACGUGAAAGGCUGACUUCUCUGCUAGUAUGAACCUCCUCUAAGUCGGGGACAAAACUUCUUGAUAUGACCCUAAUAUCUAUACUCGAAGAAACCUCUAUCGGCAAAUGGCAGUGGGGAUUGAAGGGAGCCUCGAGGAUCGGGAUACCCUCUAGAAGAACCAGGCGUAGAUGAACCCCGAAGUGAUGGUGCAUAAGACGAAAUCUAAGCUGGAAAGAUUGAGAGAUGAGUGGCCCUAAUAUGAACUGUGAGAACCAUAGCCCGAUGAUCCACCCAAACUACCUUAUCCCCAAGGCCUUUUGGCCUCCUUCUCAACUAGCUCCUUGCGGCGAACUGACUCAAUAUAUCUGGCAAUGUCAACCACCUCCUUAAAAGAAGUUCCAGAUACCCUCUCCCUGGUAAGAAAAAUCCGUAGCUAAUAAGUGAGUCCAUCGACGAACCUCCUGAUCCUCUCCCUAUCUAUUGGAACUAGCCAGAUAGCAAGACAUGCCAACUUAGAGAACCUUAUCUCAUACUGCAUCACGGUCUUGUCCUCCUGACUAAACUGCCCAAACUACCUAUGCAUCUCCUCCAUGCAGGAAUAUGGUACAUACUUCUCUAGGAAGAGAACGGAGAACGGAUGUCAGGUAUGGGGUGCUUCACCAACAGGCCUACGCCUUUGUAACGGCCCGAAUUUUGUUUUAAGAAUUUGCAUCUCGUUCGACGGCUUAAGACCCAAAGAAGCUUCGUAAUACACAUUAUGACCUGCAUAUAAGGUCAAGUUUGGUUUUCAUAAGAUUCAAAGUUAAAUUUAAAGAAAAAUUAAAAUCUUAUUUUUGAAGCUCAAAUGGAAAAAGUUGACCGGAGAGUUGACUUUUGAGUAAACGACCCCAAAUUGGAAUUUUAAUGAUGUCAAUAGCUUCGUAUAGAGAUUUUGGACUUAGACGCGUGUCUGAAUUUGGAUUUGGAAGUUCAUAGGACAAUUCGACAAAUUUUGGCGAAAUAAGAAAGUUAACAUGUUCUAAUUAUAUGAUUUUAUAUGUGCAAGGGUUCUAUAACAAUGAUGGAUACCAAUUGGAUAUAAUAGCAAGUUUACGACGCAUACAUAAGAUAUAUGGAGUCUAAGGAAAUUCCUAAGUCUAAGCCAAGUUGGAAAAUUUCAUAAUAGACUAAAGUUAUAUAUAUANNNNNNNNNNNNNNNNNNNNNNNNNNNNNNNNNNNNNNNNNNNNNNNNNNNNNNNNNNNNNNNNNNNNNNNNNNNNNNNNNNNNNNNNNNNNNNNNNNNNNNNNNNNNNNNNNNNNNNNNNNNNNNNNNNNNNNNNNNNNNNNNNNNNNNNNNNNNNNNNNNNNNNNNNNNNNNNNNNNNNNNNNNNNNNNNNNNNNNNNNNNNNNNNNNNNNNNNNNNNNNNNNNNNNNNNNNNNNNNNNNNNNNNNNNNNNNNNNNNNNNNNNNNNNNNNNNNNNNNNNNNNNNNNNNNNNNNNNNNNNNNNNNNNNNNNNNNNNNNNNNNNNNNNNNNNNNNNNNNNNNNNNNNNNNNNNNNNNNNNNNNNNNNNNNNNNNNNNNNNNNNNNNNNNNNNNNNNNNNNNNNNNNNNNNNNNNNNNNNNNNNNNNNNNNNNNNNNNNNNNNNNNNNNNNNNNNNNNNNNNNNNNNNNNNNNNNNNNNNNNNNNNNNNNNNNNNNNNNNNNNNNNNNNNNNNNNNNNNNNNNNNNNNNNNNNNNNNNNNNNNNNNNNNNNNNNNNNNNNNNNNNNNNNNNNNNNNNNNNNNNNNNNNNNNNNNNNNNNNNNNNNNNNNNNNNNNNNNNNNNNNNNNNNNNNNNNNNAUAUAUAUAUAUAAGGGGUUGUGUAAGAAAAUCCUAUCCAAUUAAAGCUCUGUGAUUCUAGUUUCCAACGCAUCAAACAAUUGUCAUUUGGAGGUGUAUACAGAAAGUUAUGUCCAUUUUACUAGACAUAUGUCAUAUGCUCGCCCAGGUGCGCGGCCGCGAAAAGUUUCAGCCUUGUGAGCGCGGCCUUUGCGCGGACGCCCUAGUAGUAGACCACUAAAUACACCUAAGGACGGGAAAGGAGAAAUUUAAGUCAUUUUCCAAGACUAUGGCAUCCUCUCCAUCACCUAUUUGGUCAAGGCUUCAAUUACACACCUAUGGUGACUUUUUAAGUAUGUUUUUAUGGUGAUUUCACUUCUCAAUCACUAGUUACAACAUGGUUUUGAUUGGAUUUCAUAGGAUUUCUUCAACAAUCUCAAGAACCUCCCAAAAGUUGUAUUUCAUGAUUUGGUCUACAAGAGGUAAUCUUUCAUCCUUUGACUUACAUAUAUGGGGUUAUUAUGGAAUUAUGAGUAUGAAUCAAGUAUUGGAACUCAUGGUAUGGUGAUUGGAAGCCAUAAAUUCUCAAUUUAAAUGAAUACCCAUUGUAGAGAUUGAAAAUUAAUUAUUUGAUGGAAUUUUGUUGGUUGGGUGUUAAUGUUUGAUCACACAUGUGAUGUUAGGGGUAUAAAUUGUUAAAGAAUAAUGGUGGGAUGAAUUGUUUGAAAAUUUUGGUAGUUGGAUAAACUAAUUCUAUUGUUACGAGAUGUAGUCAAAUGUGCACACAUAGUGUUUGAUGAAAUGCCUAAAUUAGGUAAACCCAUGAAUAUCCUUCUAAUUGUGAUUCACUUUUGUAUGAUUCUAAAUAGAUUGAAGUUGCUAGAAUUUCUGAAACAUUGUAGUACGGUAAGAAAAGCUCAGUAAAGAUUGGAGUCGUCCGGAGGUUGUUUCGCAAAAUAAUGCUAUUUUGGAAUAUCGGAAUAAUUCCCUAAAGGUAAGUAUCUUGCCUGACCUUGUGUGGAGGAAUUUCCCUUAGGAUUUGAGUCUUUUAUGCUAUUUGUAGUCCGUGCACGCGAGGUGACGAGUGAGUGUCGGACUUACUUUUGGGAAAUUUGCCUUUAGGUUUCUUAGGACCUUAUGUUCAUUAUGUGGGAAGUAUUCCAUUAUGAUUAAGUUUCCUAAUUGUUUAGUUUACCUCUAUAUGCUCCAUAAGAUGUUGUUAGCUUCCCUCUAACUCUUACUUGUUACUUCGCCUUAUUUGCCUUAGUUGAAAUGAUUAGUCUUCUUAUCGUUUUGUUAUCUCUAAAUUGUGAAUUUCUCUAUGAUCCCGUGUAUAUAUGCUAGGUGUCCAAAUUGUGUUGGUUGUCGAUGUAUUUAUCACGUGCCUAUUAUGUCUUGUUGUUUUGUUAAGUUUAUUGUGCUCCUUGGUUAUCCCUUGAUUUUCUUGUUGCCGCAUAUUCAUACUUUUGGUGGUGGAAUUCCUUCUGAUUGGGUUAUUGAAUUAUUUUUAAGUAUUCUUCGUGUUGUUUUUGUGUGUUUAUUAUGGGACUACGGGACGGUAUCCCGGGAGAUGCCAAUCUGUAUGUUUACUUUGGGACUACGAGACGAUAACCCGGGAGAUUACUCUACACAUUUAUAUUUGGGGCUACGGGACUGCACCUGGGAGAUUCCCUUAUGCUGUAUAUUUACUUUGGGACUACAGAUCGACAUUCCAGGAGAUCUCCCUGCACACUUAUAUUUGGAAAUAGGGCAUGCACCUGGGAGAUUCUCUGUACUGGAUAUUUACCUUGGGACUACAUGACGGUAUCCUGGGAGAUCCCCAGUUGUUAUAUCUGCAUUAUAUCAAGUCAAGUAUUUUCACGGUUUAGAUUCCUUUAUUGUUGUGAUCCUUUGUGUUGGAAUCCAUAGUGUUUACAAUACCUUGCCUUAUUUAUAUAUAUAUAUAUAUAUAUAUUUCAAUACUUCAAAUUUCAACAAUUGUUACAUUUUUAACCCAUUUAAUUUCUCAAAUAAUAUUCCUUAAACUGUUUGAGGUUGUAUUUUACUUAAAACUUUUUUUUACUAAGUUAAUUUAUUAAAAUCCCUUGUUAAAGGUGAUAAUCAUCUGAUGUUGUAUUUUAAUUGAAAAUGGUACCUUCUUUAUUUAAAUGAUUUGUAAUAAUAACUUUGUAUUUUCUUGUUGAGUUCCUAGGUUGUUUAUAAACUGUAAUCUACUUUAUGUUAUGUAAACGAGACUCCUUGAACAUCUGAACUUCAUUGGUUAUGGACCCUAUGUACUGAGUAGCAUGAGAACAUCGUAGCGUAAAGUGAGAUAGAAAUAUGUGGGUACGAGGUGCCAGGUGUGCUAAAAGGUUGGUAGUUGAGGUUAGAUAUGAUAUAUCGAGUUUGAGAUGGUUGGAAUUGUAUAUCAAAAAUGAUAUGAUUUAUUGAUUUCACAUUUCUUUUCUUAUUUGAGUAAAUUUUACUUGUCCGUGUCCCAGCUAUGUUGGUGUUAAUUUACUUGGUUAUCUUCGUUUCUAUCCAUGUUUCCCUUUAUUGUUCUACUAUUAUGGUUUAGUUUCUCCCUGCUGCUGAUAUUACCUUUUUAUUGUAUUCCGAUAGUUUAGCGUUAUAUCUUGUUCACUUUAUUUGAUCAGUAGGUUCCUUGAUUGUUCCUCGUCACUACUCUGCCAAGGUUAGUCAGAUACUUAUUAGGUACCAUUGUGGUGUGCUCAUACUAAAAUUUUGUACAUUUUUUUAUUUACAAAUAUAGGUAUUUGAUCGAUAGUAGUUGUGCGGGUCAUUGCAGCGAAGACUCAAGGUAAUCCUGCUGCUGCAUUCGCAGGCUUCAGAGUCAUCUUCCUAUUUUAUAUUCACAUUGUUGUACUUAUUUCCAUACAUUUUGUUUAGACGUUGUAGUGAAAGCUCUGUAGAGAUUAUGACUAAUACUAUCGGGUUUUGGGAAUUUGGUCAUUGUAUAAAGGAUUUAUUCGAGAGAAUUUUAGAUUUUAUUAUUUAUUGUUGUUAUUCUGCAAUUAUUACGCUUACCUAGUCCUUAAGACAAGGUGCCAUCACGAAACCCAACGGAGGGGAAAUUGAGUCUUGAGAAGUUGGUAUAAGAGCUCUAGGUUCAUAGGUGCUACAAGUCAUAAGCAAGUUUAGCAGAGUCUUGUGGAUCGGUACAGAGACGUCUGUACUUAUCUUCGAGAGGCUACAUAACUAUUAGGAUAACCUCACUUCUUUCAUUCCUUAUCAUGCUAUGUUUAUUCAACUUGAAGCAUAUAACUUAUGUUCUUUUGCAUCCGCUCAUGUAUGAAACUAUGCACUCAGUAUCAACUAUGGCCAGAGGUUGUGAUCCUACCGAGGGGUUAUAAGGGAUCCAAUGUUACUCAACCAUUGUUACCACAUACCAUCUAGAUAGAGGAUGUGGAGUAUUGGGAGGUCAUUUCGUGGUGCACAUGGGGGUGUAGCAGGUUCUGACAACUGGUUGAUAAAUACGAUCUUUAGAAGAUUUACUUAAUUAGCUAAUUGUCACAAUUGUGGUAGGGUCACGAGGUGGAUGUAGAUAAUAAGAUAGUUAGUGGUAUUAGAGACUAUGUGUUUCAUAUGAGUUUUCUAUUUAGCGAAGUGUACCAGUAGCAACCGAGACACUGGAGGAAGUAAGUUUUAUUGUCAUAAGGAUGACAUGAGGCAAGUAAAUGGCUUGAUGUGUCUUAUGGCUGGUGUCGUACGAGCGGUGAAGGUUAGUAUUAUGGAUCGUCGGAAAUGUGUCCUAUUAUUUCACACCAAGUAAGGGAAGUCCACUAUCAACAAUCAAAUUGUGGGGUCAUGUGUUUUAUUAGUUUUGGCAUGAGCUAUAUAUAUUUGGUAUUGAAAGAUUUGUUGAAACUUGUAUAUGAUUAAGAGCUGAGAUUUGAAUGGGAUGAUGAUGAGACUUGAGAUAUUCCCGUGUCUUUAAUAUUUCUAAAUUUUAGUAUCAACGAGGUCAUGGAAACAUAUUCGGUAUACUCGUAGUGUGUAAGUUAAUCACAACACUCACGUGGUGCAAUCAUCUUUCUUGCAAUUUAUGUUAUCUGGUACGAACUUGCUUUGAGCAAUCAAACUACGGAUGGGUUGUUAUGAAUAUGCUGAUAAUAGGAACAUCCUGAGAAAUUGUCCUAGACUUUGGAGAAAUCUGUUCCAUCAGAGUACACGUGCCAUGUACUCUAUUACAGUUACUACUCUACUUACACUACCAAUUAUGGCUGGAGGAAAAUGCGGGUAGAUGGUGCCUAAGAGGUGGAGGCCUGAUCCAUCAAUAUAUUUUCUAUGGUAUAGCUAAGGUCGCUACACUAGAUGGGGUUGUUACAAGUUCGAACUCGAGUUAUCAUAAAAGAACAAUUUCCUUAAAUUGAUUCGGUUAUGAGUAUCGAGGAAAGUCCUCUUAAUAUGCUCUGCUCAUUAGUGAGCUUUGUAAUUCUGAAAUCUACUUAUAUAAAUACUCAUGUUGGGUAAUUGUAUGGACAUAUCUAUUUCUAUCAUUAUGUUUUGGUCACCAAAAAUAGUUUUGCGGCUAAAAGUGACUUUCUAUCACUUACUACAGUGGGUUUUCAUGUGAUUUAGGAUAAUUAAAUUUCAAUUGUGAAUUAUAUGCCCUAUCGGUAUGAGGGUUCAUUAUAUGUUGUGAUUUUUUAUGGACAUUAUUUAAAAGAAGAAAGAAAGGAAAUGAAAAAUUUUUAGUUGGCACAAUGUGCAAAUACUUGUGAUUCAUAGUUGAGGACAAGAUCCUCACAUUUUUAUAUGAUGUGAAAUAUUUUAAACCAGCUACAAGCUACGGUGAAUGUCAUAUAAAGACGAGGUCCUUAUGGGGAAAAAUUUAUGUGUUGAAAUUAAAAAAAAAAUUGUACUAUAGUAAUUAUAGGGAGUCAUGCCUAUGAGGUUUAUUUGAAAAUUCUUGUAUGAAUAUCUCUAUACAUAAUUUGCCAAUUUGUAUUGUAAUUUUUGAGUUUUAUCCCACAAGAUAAGUGGAUAGGUGACGCUAAAUGUGACUCGUUAAUUUGGGUAAUUAAUUUUGAGGUCUUCAUGCCUCGUUGUUAGAAAAUUGAGGCUUGAAACGAGAUUUUUGUUGGCAUGAAAUUAAGUGGUGAUUUGUAAUCAAUUAUGAACAACUAUUAAGACCAUAGAUAUGGUUAUGGUGAUACAUAUGAUGUGUUUCAUGUCUAUAUAUCUUUAUGAUAAUGUCACGCUUGUAAUACGGAGAUUUGUAUUAUUGAUAUAUACAUUGUAGUGAUUUGUUGAGUUGUGGACGUGUUGUUAGGAGUUGUUUUGGUGUUACUCUGAUAGUGGAUAUGCCCAAUAAUAGGGGAGACUUUACUAAGCUUUCUGAAAAAUUUGAGAGUUAGAAAAUUUUGGGAAAUUGAGGUGUACGAAGAAAAAUAAAAGUUAUAUUAUGUGUUUGAGAGAGGACUCUACUUCUUAUUUGAGGGUGAAUGACUCUAAGUGGGGGAGGAUAUAAUAACUGUUAAGCGCUAUUAAAAAGUGAUGCGUGCGUAGGCACGAGUUACUAUAGCCAGGUGAGACUAAGAUCAAGUGAAGAUGCAAAAUCGAACCUUUUUGAAAAUGUUCGGAGUGUAAGAAAUUUGGUCUUAAAGUUUAAAAAUAUGGGUUAGAGAAAUGGCCUCAAUUUAAAGGUAUUGUCGAACUUAUUUGGAAUGUGGUAAUGUGGGAUUAACCACGAAUAUAUGUGUAAAAGUAGAAACAUCAAUUUGGUAACAUCGGAAUAAUCUUAGCACGUUCGAGGACGAACGUUUGUUUAAGAGGUAGAGAAUGUAAGGACUUGAAUUUUUGUUUUAAGAAUUUUCAUCUCGUUCAACAGCUUAAGACCACGAGAAGCUUCGUAAUACACAUUAUGACCCUCAUGUAUGGUCAAGGUUGGUUUUCGUAAGAUUUGGAGUUAAAUUUAAAGAAAAAUUAAAAUCUUAUUUUGAAGCUCAAAUGGAAAGAGUUGACCGGAGAGUUGACUUUUGAGCAAACGACCCCAAAUUAGAAUUUUUGUGAUGCCAAUAGCUUCGUAUGGUGAUUUCAGACUUAGAUGCGUGUCCGAAUUUGGAUUUUGAAGUCCAUUGGACAAUUCGGUACAUUUUGGUAAAAUAAGAAAGUUGAUAUGUUCUAAUUAUAUUAUUUUAUAUAUGGAAGGGGUCUAUUACCAUGAUGGAUACCAAUGGAUAUGAUAGAUAGUAUACAAGGCGUACUAUAAGGCAUAUGAGUGUCACACCUCCUCUUUACCUACACCCCGGAAGGGGAGAAAAUGAAGUUUAUUCCAACUUAAAGUGACAAUAGAAACGAGGUUAUUUAUUUGUUAAAUUUAGAGUUGCCACUUGGGAUAAUUUAUGGUGUCCCAUGUCACUAGUAUAAAAUCUCGAAUCGAGGAAGUUUGACUCUUUUUACGGUCUGCGAUCACAGAAAUCCAAGUAAGAAAUUCUGUUAACCCGAGAGAAAGUGUUAGGCACUACCGAGUUCCGUGGUUUUAGCACAGCCACUUUGAUCAUACUUGGCUUAUUAAAAUUUUCUAAUUACUCCUUAUAGAAGCUAUGUACAUUCGCCUAUUUUAAUUAAAGAAAUUAUCUUGGAACGGAUCUCGUGUACGUGUACACAUUUUUUUGGCGCAUCAAAAGUCAUGUCACGCAAACGUGUCCACAAUUAAUAACGCGUUAUUAUUAUUAAGAAAAUUUGGCCGAAGUUGCGCGGACGCGUACUCCGAUUUUAUUUUUAGGAAUCGUAAUCAUGUCACGCAAAUAUGUACGCAAUUACGAUAAUAUAUUAGCGUGCUUAAAGCAAACUACGAGCAUUUGUCAUUUUUAUAUCUAGGCUAUGAAAUUAGUGCGAAGGCCAUGGGCGAUAUGGUUAAAUGUCAUACCUCAUUCUAUUCUUUAAGAGCCCAAUCAACUGAUCACAAACCUAACGGAAAUCAGAACAUUUUCUACGUUAAGCUAUAACUAAAUUGGCUAUAAUAGGCCCACAAUUAACAAGCAAUUGCCUUAAAGGAUUUCAUUCCUCAACAACCCAUCAAAUGCAGGAAGGGAACAAAAUAGGCCCAAAUAGUACUAAGGUGCAUAAUUCCCAAUUUUGCAAGUCUUUUCGGAAUUUGGCCCAAAAUGAGCCCAAGACCUUUCAAGAUCCUGAACUAAACAAGUGAGGACUCACAUUCGAAUUCCCAACACCCAAGAUGCGUCUAAAAAAUCGAGGGUGCCAACAUGAACUCAAAUGACUAUCAUGAAUACCAACGUAUAUGCAAUUGAUUUCCAAAUGGGCCUUUUAACUACUUAAUAGACAGUUUCAUGAGAUCUUUAACAGUGACAAAAAUAACAAUUGAAAGUUCUACUUGGUAGCUAUGCAAUAUACAGUUUUAAAUCUUAAGGCUUCAAGCAAUGAAUCCAACAAUCAUUUAACCAUCAUGCUUACCUUAGGUUCGAAUUUACUGAGACCUAUGUUUAAAAUAUGCAAUCGACGAAAGAGAUCCAAUGAAAUUAUCCAGCUUCACAAAUGAAAAUUUAAACAUUAACCUAAAACUGAAUAGGAUUGUAAACAUCACUUGCAGUUCUGAACAUUAUUCAGCUAGUGCUUGGCAUUUUGACAACUUCAAACGAAAUAUAUCCUAAACAAUGUUGAUCUCAAAAAAGGAUAAGCAAACAUCCAAGGCUCAACCAAUCUAAUCAAUAUUCCGCUAUAACAGCCCUUUGAAGUCCCUUUGUACAAAACCUGAAUCCAGAUUCAUGCAAAUCAUUAAUAACUAAAUCACACGACUUGUCUAUCAUUGCAAAUGAUCUUAAACUGAAACAGAAAUGGAUUAACUAUAAUGAGAACCAAGACUAACUAUGAAAUUUGAAGGUUGUGAGAAUUUUUUUUAAUAAAACUAAAGCUCUUUGUAUUUCGAACUUCAAGCAAACAAACUUGCACUUCUUUAUUUCAUAUGUCAGUGAGAUGAACUAUACCUGGAGAUAAAAGAAACAAAACAGUAAGGUUUAGCAAAAGGAAAAGCAGCAGCAACCAACUGUAAACCCAACAAUAGAGCCAUAGAGACCACAACAAAAACCACACUUGAGUUCAACUACUUGAAACUCAAUCCAUUUUAAGCCAAAAUGCAAAAUUAAGAAUUUCAGUGAUUUGAACUAGCGUAUUAGGACCAGAAAAACCAAAUCCAAGCAAUUUUUUUGUUUGUAUUUUUCAGAGAAAUGCAAGGGAUUCAAGGUUGUUUUCAGAAUUUCUUCAAGACUGUCAGCCGUUUCAGUUUUUGGAUGAUUUCUAUCUCUUAAUUUUUGCCUUGACUGCCAAGUUAUGAUGUCUUUAUAGGCAAUGCAUUAGGACAGCCUCAAAUAAUUCACAUUUGCACUUAAAAAUCUUUUGGAAUUUUUGUUUUUGCUUAGGAGUCCUUUAUUUAAAAUUCAGAGCUUCAAAUCAGUCCCCCUUCCCAGCUUCCAAGAAGCUUCUUAAGAAAGUUACUGAGAUUCUCUCAAGCCUCUACUCCUUAAGCCCCUGAAAAUUACCCCUGGUCCAGGCAGACAUAUGGGUUAAAUUGACCCAAUUGAAGUGUUGAUGGGUAAAUUUUGACCAAACACUUAACAGGCCUCAAUGAAGGAUUAGAAAAUGACCUCAAGGCCCAGACCAAAUAAAAAAGAAACUCAUUUUAAAAUUAGAAGAACGAAAUUAUAUGAAUUUAUCAUAACUAAGCUCAACUUAUGAUUUCCUAAUGAGCUAUAAUUAAAGUACAUACAAAGGAGUGAGAACCAAUUAUACGACUGGAAAAGAAAAAAAUCAGAAAUUAAGCGGGUAAUAAACUAAACACAAUUCAUGAGAACGACCACCAUAUAAACCCAGAAAGUUAUAAUCAUUGUUUUAAUCAAGAAAUCUAACUAAGGAAAAACUGGAGGAAAGGGUGAGGGACAGGUAAAAAGAAAACGGAUAGAAAAGAGAAGAAGUAGGAGGAUACAAGUCACGAACAAACAGAAGAUGGAGACGAGAUGGCAAAAACAAAGAAAAUACGUCGAAGUCCAUAUGGACAAUGCUUGAAGAUCUCAAACGGAUCCGACUUGACUUGAAAUUAGUACUAACCGUGUGUUCUCUUUGAGAACUAAUCAGUAAUACUCGUUUCAAGCCUAGUCGUUCACAAGAACUCGAGGAUUUGAGAGAUUUUCAUCUUCUUCGAUUCCUAAUCUGAAACGAGUCCAUUUUUGCAAGGAUUUUGGGAAGAGUGGUGGUGGAUUAGGAUGCAAGGAGGGUUGAUAGUUGCAUGGCCAAAUUUUUGUGGUGGUCGGAGCUAUCUCGCUGGUGAUAGUGGAGGAUUCGCUCAGAGGCGGCAUUAGGUUUCACUGUCUCUGAGUUUGAGAAAGGUGAGAGAUGAGGUGUUUGAACUGAUGUGAGCUAACGAGUUUGGACAUAUUAAUUGAGAAUGGGAGGGGUUGUCUGAGCCAUCAGAUCUGCUGAACGAAGGGUUGAGAUUGGAGUAAGGUUAAGAGACC
rnacentral:lncRNA from 1 species